CACUCUAGCAUUAAUAGUAUUAGGAGGCACUGCCUGCCCAGUGACACACGUUAAACGGCCGCGGUAUCCUGACCGUGCAAAGGUAGCAUAAUCAUUUGUUCCUUAAUUAGGGACUUGCAUGAAUGGCCAAACGAGGGUUUGACUGUCUCUUACUUUUAAUCAGUGAAAUUGACCUUCCCGUGAAGAGGCGGGAAUGAAUAAAUAAGACGAGAAGACCCUGUGGAGCUUAAAUUAACCAGUCCAAACAUCUUCAACACUAAUACCCACGGGAACCAACCAAUUUGUCCUUGGACUAUAUAUUUUGGUUGGGGUGACCUCGGAGUAUAACACAACCUCCGAAUGAUCUUAAUUUAGACCAACUCGUCCAAAUUACCACUCAUAUAUUGACCCAAUCUAUUGAUCAACGGAACAAGUUACCCCAGGGAUAACAGCGCAAUCCUACCCAAGAGUCCCUAUCGACAGUAGGGUUUACGACCUCGAUGUUGGAUCAGGACACCCAAAUGGUGCAACCGCUAUUAAUGGUUCGUUUGUUCAACGAUUAAAGU
rnacentral:rRNA from 1 species